ensembl:lncRNA LINC02250 long intergenic non-protein coding RNA 2250
AGAGGCUGGGAACACCAAGGGCAUGGCAGCAGCAUCUGGUGGGGUUCUGUGCUACAUUACCCCAUGGUGGAAGGGCAGAGGGCAGAGGGCAGAAGAGGAAAGGCAGAAGAGAAAGACAGCAUGGGAGACAGCAAGAAAAUGGAGGCCAAAACUUAUCCUUUUAUCAGGAAUCCACUCCCACAAGAUUGCACAGAGUUCUUGAUAUUGAAGAGUGAACCAUGUUCAAGGAAGAAGAGAUCACCCCAUAAAACCCUUCCAGCUUGUGUUACAAUCAGAUGCCUCUAAGAUGGACAAAAAAGGCACACAGAGAUAUUCCCUACUCAGGCUCUGGUCAAAUCUCUCUCCACUUAAUGGAGCAUGGCUUUCAACUGCACCUGGAGCAUGUUUGUAAACAAUGCCAUCAGGAAUAAAAGUGUUUGAAGCUGAAGCUGGGUCUUCCAUCCAAAUGUGGAAAGCGUGCCAGAGGACUGUCUUUCCCAUUCCCGCCCCACCUGCACAGCCAUAGACAAAGCUCAGCUCCGGGAUAAGAGGAAAAAGCACUGCCUGGACCUGUCCACCAGCAAGCGGACAUUGCUUUGCAUAAACAGGCAGAGGGGCAGGCACCUCAAGGGACUCGCAGAAGUGCCUGGGUAUUUUUAAAUACUUGAGGAGAACACAAGGAUGCCUGUCGGACAUCUCAGGAACUGCUAGCUCCAGGCAAGGCCUCUUUCUGAUAUGGAUGCUGUCACACCAAGAACAUGACAUAGUCCCUUGUGAGGAGGAAGCCUGCGGUGGGGGGCAUAAGCUCCAGACAGCUGCAGUGCAAAGGCCUGAGGCAGAAAAGGGCUCUGCACAUCAGGAAGCUAUACGGAAGCCGGGACCCUAAGGCAGCAGACAGCAAGGAACAGGACAGGGCUGCACGUGACCAGGGGGCAGGAACGGGGCUCUGCAGGCUUUGUUGGAGGGUCUGGAUUGGAGCUGACUGAAAUAGUGUAAUGGCAAAUUUACACUCUUCAAGUCUGUCUGAAAAUAGCACUCUCUCAGUAAAAGUGAACUUUGUCAGAAAGGGGUCCUUAUGCUGAUUUUGAAAUUGACAUUAGCAUCUGUCCUGAAGGAAGUGGAAGAGAAACCUCAUAAGUCCGUGGCCAUAUGAGAAGAACGCAGGACCCCUCAGAGCGCUCAUCAAAUCUGAGCUACAGCAGAUGACUGUGGUCGUGUCUUUCACAGGGAGGUGUGGCUCCCUAACGCUCAUGGCCAUAAAAGUCCCAUGGGGGCCGGUAGGUGUAUGUCAGUCAGCACAUCUGCCACCUUCCUUCAUAGGGACCCUAGCAGUCUCCAGCUGCUUUGUAUACUCUGGUGCUUAUCAGAACCAUAAAACCAACCAAAAACUGU